rnacentral:lncRNA from 1 species
CAUGGCUAGCAAGUUGUUCCAGCACCACUUAUAAACGGUUGAUCUUUCUGGCCACUUGCUCACAUGCUGUCUUCAGUGAUAUUUGGGCCAAUUCCUGGACUCAAGAUUUUGUUCCUUUUUUUUUUUUUCUGUGGUUCUUUGGCGCUAAGACCACACUGUUUUAAUUACUGUGGCUUUUAAUAUCCCAGAUAACCUCAUGACUCACCUUCUGCAGGUCUUUACUCAAAUACAGCCUUUUCUGUGAGAUCUUCCUCAAGCACCCUAUUUACAAUGCUGGCUUCCCUCUACCCCAACCCCUGCCCGCAACCACCUCCAUAUAGUCUCUGCUUUGCUUUAUUCUUCUCCUUAUCACAUGUUACCAUCUGUUAAUCGACAUAUUUUACUUAUUCAUUUGCGUACUGUCUGCAUAUCUAGACUAAGUUUCAUGAGAUGAUAAGUCCAUGAAAACAGGGAUUUUCAUUUCUUUGACUCACUUUUGUAUCCCCGGUGCCUGGAACACUGCCAAGCACAGAACAGAUUCCCAAAAAUAUUUAUUGAAUGAAUGACAAACCGGUAGAGAAAAACAUCCUACAUACAACCACUCCCCACCCCGAUUUUUUUUUCGAGAAUUCGUUGGCUCUUUUUACACAAUCUUUUGUCAUGAAAUAUAGUGCUAAAUUGACCAAGUCAAAAAGAAGAUCCAUGGGAUUUUGAAUGGGCCCAUGUUGAAUACACAGGUUAAUUUAGGAAGAAUUGACAACUUUACAGCUUUGAUUAUUUCCGAGGAAGAUCCAGUUAUUUCCCUAUUUUUUCAAGCCUUCUUUUAUUCCCUCAGUGUAGCAAAAUGAUUUUCUUUGUAAAGGCCCUAUGAAUUUCAUAUGAAGAUUGUUCCCAAUCAUGUUGUGAUGUUUUGUUAUUCAUUCACUUAUUCAAUAAAUGCUUCUUGUUGUCAAUCAUGUGCCAGACACUGUUCUAGGAGCUGGGAAUGCAGCAGUGAACAAAAAAUUGUUCUCUGCCCUCAUGGAUGUCAUGUUCUAAUAAGAAUGGAAUUCUUUUUUCCCUUAUAUUUUUUAACUAGCAAUAUUUGGUAUAAAAGAGAGCUAUUGAGUUUGGGGUACUUCUUUUAACAUAUCUUCUUACUAAAUUCUCUCAUCAUUUCUUUUUUUAAAGACUUUUAUUUUUCCCAUUAUAGUUGGUUUACAGUGUUCUGUCAAUUUUUUACUGUAUAGCAAAGUGACCCAAUCUCUCUCUCUCUCUCUCUCUCUCUCUCUCACACACACACACACACAUAUUUUUCUCACAUUAUCCUCCAUCUUUUUCCAUCACAAAUGACUAGAUAUAGUUCUAUUUUCCCCUUUUAUCUGUUGGCAAAAUGAAGUUUUCCAAUACAGUCCCUGUAUUUAUCCACAAUUGGAUUUCUGGAAAUUAAUUCCAUAUUUUUAGUCAAGAAGAAAAGUCACAAUUUUUUUUAAAUAUUUAGGACUGUAUAAUAUACCAGAAAUGAAUUUAGGUAUCAAAUUAUCUGAUAUGAUCCAAAUAUCUGAUAUGAUACAAUUGACAAUAGUUGUAUGCAACUGAUGCAAGUCAUUUUGAGAAAAUAUUAAUUUUUUUCUCUUUGCUGGCAGACUGUUUAGGAACCUAACUCCCUGAGUCAGCUACUGUUGAGUCUAUUUUUUUAAUAAAACAUAAAACCAUGGUUCUCCAUUGAAAGUUAGAGAACAUAAAAUCUAUUGAUUUCUUUUAUAUUACUUUCUGUUUGCCAAUUACUUGUACAAACACUGAAGUAGCUAAAGAUUUAAUUUGCAUAUCCAACCACAAUAAAACAAGGAUGCCUGAGUAAAGUCUUACAUCACAGCUGUAAACUAAGAUUUUCUGAGGAGUUACAUUUGUCCUAAUAAUAUAAGACAGGGAUUAAGAGCAAUUAUACAACACCCAUUUCUGCAACUAAAGAAAUGAGGUUUGGCAGCCUGAAGAGUCUUGAGCAUGCUAACGCUGUCAGUAGCAGAGCGUGGACAAAAACUUUAGUUUUCUGCUUCACAUCAAAUACUCUUUCCACCGUGCUCUCCCUUUCAUUCGGCAUUACCUGCGUCACUAGAAACACUCAAAUAUGUUUCUUCACUUACCUAGAAAUUGUUGUGUUACCUUUGCCUAUUAUUUUAGGAGGAAAUCAUUUCUUAUAAAAUUCACAUAUGGCUUUUGAUUUUGUGGCAUCCUUUUCCUGGAGGUUCAAAGAAUGAGCGUAUGCUUGAAGAGUAAAUUCUUACAACAGGUCUGUGGGGCGGGGGUGUGGGGAGCAGAAAUGAUGAGUCUCCUGUGAUAUAAAUCAACAUUCUAAUCGUUAAAAAAUAGAUGCACUCAUUCAUAAGUGUCACAAAACACUCCAAACUGAAUAGGAAGGAAUAUCUGAAUGGAACUGAUAACAGCCAAGCCUGAAGAGGAAGCACAACAGCCCAUUACGAGCUAUUGAAAAUUUCCAUAGAGAGAAAAAAAAAAUGACAUACAGCAGGAAAUUCCUGACCAGUAGUGUAAUCUCUUACAUAAAAUGUGUUGGCAGAUAAAUGGAUUUUUAUGAUUUUGCUUACAC